rnacentral:guide_RNA from 1 species
AACUAUAACAAGGCAGAUAGAGCAUACCUACAUAGAUAAUUU